rnacentral:rRNA from 1 species
AUGCAGUCGAACGCGAAAGGUUCCUUCGGGAACCCGGUAGAGUGGCGCACGGNUGAGUAACACGUGGGUAAUUUGCCUUCGGGUGGGGAAUAACAGUCGGAAACGGCUGCUAAUACCGCAUAAUGCAGCGGCAUCAUAAGAUGACAGUUGUUAAAGCGGGGGAUCGUAAGACCUCGCGCCUGAAGAGAAGCCCGCGGCGGAUUAGGUAGUUGGUGAGGUAAUGGCUCACCAAGCCCGCGAUCCGUAACCGGCCUGAGAGGGCGGUCGGUCACACUGACACUGACAUACGGGUCAGACUCCUACGGGAGGCAGCAGUCGGGAAUUUUGGGCAAUGGGCGAAAGCCUGACCCAGCAACGCCGCGUGAAGGAUGAAGCAUUUCGGUGUGUAAACUUCACAAGAAUAGGAAGAAUAAGUUAAGGUAAAUACCCUUGACGAUGACGGUACUAUUUGUAAGCUCCGGCUAACUCCGUGCCAGCAGCCGCGGUAAUACGGGGGGAGCAAGCGUUGUUCGGAUUUACUGGGCGUAAAGGGCGCGUAGGCGGCGCAACAAGUCACUUGUGAAAUCUCCGGGCUUAGCUCGGAGCGGUCAAGUGAUACUGUUGUGCUAGAGUGCGGAAGGGGCAACUGGAAUUCUCGGUGUAGCGGUGAAUGCGUAGAUAUCGAGAGGAACACCUGCGGCGAANGCGGGUUGCUGGGCCGACACUGACGCUGAGGCGCGAAAGCCAGGGGAGCGAACGGGAUUAGAUACCCUGGUAGUCCACGCCGUAAACGAUGUCAACUAGCCGUUGGAAGCCUUGAGCUUUUAGUGGCGCANCUAACGCAUUAAGUUGACCCCNUGGGGAAUACGGCCGCAAGNUUAAACUCAAAUGAAUNGACGGGGGCCCCCCCANCGGUG